AGACAAGUCGCUCUUUUUGUGUUAGAGACAUUGUGAUAGAGAUCAAAAUAUUCGGAUUAAUUUGUUCCGAGACAACGCAUCUAAUUUUAUAGCUAUAGAAAAUGUCCCAGUCCGACAUUAAAUCAAGCAAAGAUGUACAGGAAUCACGCCCGCUGUAAACAGAUUCCGUGUGAUGUUCUAAGAGAUUUUAUCAGAUUUACCAUGAACAGGGCGCGUAAGAUGCAUUAAAGGAAUUAUUAUAUUCAUAGAUAUGUGGGGAGCAUAAAGAGAAUGAAAUAUGUCUGAAUGGUGUACUGUACUGAAAGGUGCAUUAUAUAUUCAUCAUGAAUAGGUUUUAACGAUAUAAUGAGAGAGUGUAGUAACUCACCAUGAACAUACCUUUAAUGAUACACUUGGAAGAAGCGUCAUAUAUAUUAAACAUAAGCAAGUCCCAUAUCAUAUGAUGAACAGAGAUAAUAGGACCAUCAUUCGCCGUGAACAGGGUCCAAAUUAUGUACUGAAAUAGUGCAUCAUGUUGUAACCAUGAAAAGGGUCCAAACGGUGUACUGAACUAGAAGAGAGUGUUCAUAUUAAUCAAGAACUGACUCUGUGUUCAUAAAAGUAUAAGGGAGUGCAUGGUAUUCAUCACAGGUCCAAGUUGGUGACUUCAGGGCCAGACUGUUGUACUGAUGUACUGAGAGGACUUAAACAUAAUCAUUAUGAACAGGCUGCAUUUGAUGUUCUGAGAGUGAGUUAAUCAUAUUCAUUAUUAAAAGGUUCGUGAAGAACUGAAAAGAAAUGUACCAUAUUCAUCAAAAACAGGUGCUGCAUGAAUGAAUUAUUUAUGGUCAUCAUAAACAGGUUCUGCAUUAUGACAACGCAUUUGGAAAAGAUGCACAGUUUCACUUAAAGUGUGUACUGUAACAAAGUUCGAUGUUCUGAAAAAUAAGGUAUCUGAGAAACAGACCAAGCAAUUAAUACAUUUCUGUUUUCAUUUCAUCACAGUGUCCUGAUUCUUACAGUUUUCCAUCAAAGACGCUGGAAAUUUCGCGCGCAGUCUCCAACAUCGUAACAUUCCAAACGAUGGAGAAACCUAGAUGACUUUUAGGUUCAUGAGACGGGCGAUGGAGUGUAAUGUUAUCAUUGAUAUAAUUCGUAUUACUGAAAGAUAUCUGAGGAUAAAAUAUCGUGAUAGUCAC
rnacentral:sRNA from 1 species